UAAGCGGAGGAAAAGAAACCAACAGGGAUUGCCUCAGUAGCGGCGAGUGAAGCGGCAAAAGCUCAAAUUUGAAAUCUGGCGUCUUUGGCGUCCGAGUUGUAAUUUGAAGAAGGUAUCUUUGGGCCCGGCUCUUGUCUAUGUUCCUUGGAACAGGACGUCACAGAGGGUGAGAAUCCCGUGCGAUGAGAUGACCCGGGUCUGUGUAAAGUUCCUUCGACGAGUCGAGUUGUUUGGGAAUGCAGCUCUAAGUGGGUGGUAAAUUCCAUCUAAAGCUAAAUAUUGGCGAGAGACCGAUAGCGAACAAGUACAGUGAUGGAAAGAUGAAAAGAACUUUGAAAAGAGAGUGAAAAAGUACGUGAAAUUGUUGAAAGGGAAGGGCUUGAGAUCAGACUUGGUAUUUUGCAUGCUGCUCUCUCGGGGGCGGCCGCUGCGGUUUACCGGGCCAGCAUCGGUUUGGAGCGGCAGGAUAAUGGCGGAGGAAUGUGGCACGGCUUCUGCUGUGUGUUAUAGCCUCUGACGAUACUGCCAGCCUAGACCGAGGACUGCGGUUUUUACCUAGGAUGUUGGCAUAAUGAUCUUAAGUCGCCCGU
rnacentral:rRNA from 1 species